AAUAUCGGGACUUCGUCAGUUUUUGCAGGCAAAUAUUUUAGUUUUUUAAAUUACUUCGACAAACACAAAAACGGCAAUUUUGGACUUGGUCACUUUUAGCUUUAAACCCAAGAUAUACAAUAAAAAAUAUUUGGUUGGGUAUCAGUUCAAGUUGUUUAGAUCAACGGAUAAAUGAAAAAACCUGAAAACUCAAGAGAAACAAUACAGCGUCAAUUUUACAACAGUUCAUUCAUAUCGUAGAUACCUUAUAAAGUGAAUGAAUUUAUAUAAUAUUACAUGAGAGGCGGUUCUACUCAAAUAUAUUCGAGAAUCCGGAAACGAUUUACCAAUGAUAUUUCGAAUUUAAUAAAUAUUAUCAACAACCAAGAGAAGCACCUAGUGAUGAAGAAUGACGACGCGAUUGAUGAACAUCUAAAUUAAGUAUAUUUUGAUGUGCAUAAUAUGCUUAUAAUGUGUUAUUUCCAGUAUUAGGUUUUAGGAUGUACUUCAUAUUCUAAAAAUAUAAUCUAAAUAUAA